GACCACUCUGAGUCCUGCUGAGAGCCAGCCCAUUUGCUGUCUGGGCACAGCCUCUCCCACUCCCCCAGACACGAUGGCUGGGAAUGCAGAGACAGGCUUAUCUCCGCCCGGCCCUGGCUUUGCUUGGUAUUUUAUCAGGUGAUAUUUGUGGCGAAGGGUAGCUCUCUGGCGUGAGCAUCUAGGUGCCCAGGACUAUUCCUGGCUGCCACUUGUCUUGCUGAGUGAGGUCUAGCGAGCUGACCUUGCUAGUCUGGUCUCCUCAGGCAGGAGAUGCACGUAGUUUGUCUGCCUUUCCCAUCAGGCUGGGCCAGGCUUCGUGAUAAACAGGGGCCUUGCUCAGAGCAUCUGUCCUGAGAGCCAAAGAUUUUAUCUGGAGACCAGAGAUGCUGUGUUUAUCUGCAUGAGGCUAUUUCUGUGUACAGACAGGCAGGAAGCUAGGAGGAAGGAAAGCAUCUUUCUGGGUACCAUGGUGACAUGGACUUACUGUACCUUUGAAGUCUUCUUAUGCAAGUGUUUAGAGCUCUAAGCUUGGGUGUCCCUAGUUCUUUUAACCCAGAUAUAGUUCAUCAACAAGAUGUAGUAAGGAAAUGGAGACCCCGCAAGGCAUAAUGGGAUAGUGAAUGGUACAACACUAUUCUGGUUGUCAGAGUUGAGAAAGGGUUCCAUUGGGGACCUAGUGUUUCUGAGCAAUGAGGAAUUCUGCAGUGGGGUGCAGCUUAUCAGUCCGCCGCAUGGUGCCUGAGCCUAGCAGCUUGCCAGAUCAAGUGGUUAACCAGGACUUUGGAUGUCGCCCUGCCUGUCCUGAGUCCUUGCCCUGCGACUGUGAGGCAGAGCAGUGUGCCAACCUCCCCACGAGAGCUGGGGAUCCCGCAGGAGCCGUGGUUGUCGGUAGACAAGAUGGUCCCACGACCAGGGAACCCAGAAAUGCCUAACUCUGUCGGUCUCCACAACAUUAUCACGGUAGCGCCACCUCCCUGUCCUGAGGAAGGAUGGAACAAUCAAGAUCUCAAGAUGUGGGGGCUGGAGAGAUGGCUCAGUGGUCAAGAGCACUGACUGCUCU
rnacentral:sRNA from 1 species